GUCCACGCCCUAAACGAUGUCAACUGGUUGUUGGGGAAUUGAUUUCCUUAGUAACGAAGCUAACGCGUGAAGUUGACCGCCUGGGGAGUACGGUCGCAAGAUUAAAACUCAAAGGAAUUGACGGGGGCCCGCACAAGCGGUGGAUGAUGUGGUUUAAUUCGAUGCAACGCGAAAAACCUUACCUACCCUUGACAUGUCGCAAAGCCUGCUGAAAGGUGGGUGUGCCCGAAAGGGAAUGCGAACACAGGUGCUGCAUGGCUGUCGU
rnacentral:rRNA from 1 species